AUGAACUCCCCUUAGGAUACUAACACUAUAAAAAAAUGAAAUUAGUAUUGUACAACACAAAAAAAUGAGAGCCACUGGCCCCGUCAUCGGUAGGCAGAGGUGGCCUCCUCUGUCCAGAUUCAAGGUGGCUGUGGCCAACCCCUCUCUUCGGAACAUAGAGGACUCUUUCUUCCUCCACUAUCCUCAGCCUGGAGGCUUUGGCGAAAAUAAGACACAGGUGCAGCCUCGUUCCACCUGUUCCCCUUGCUGAAUUCCACUCACGCGGAGCGUGUGCCACGUGCCGGGCACGGGCUAAAUGCCGGGAUUACCAAGAACAGCAAACACAGUCGCACCCUCAAAGGCUCGGAGCCCCGGCAGGGCUCAGAAUGGAGGAAUGAACAGAGAGGCCGUGGGCUGGUGGCUAAGGCUCUGACUUCAGAAGAACUACUGUACAUUUGCAUGAAGGUUCAAAUUCUCUGGGCUUCCGAAAUCUUGCAGAAGCAAUCCUUGCCUAGCUUUGGGAAGAUCUGCCCACUAUAAAUUAUGCCGGAGUUGCCAGAGUACGACUUCCUGUACCCAUCUGUCCUGGAGCUAAGUCACAUCGUCACGUAGUGAAAUGUGGUGAUAAACAUGGACAUCUUAGAGGGAAGGGAUUCCAGAAGGGGCCACAGCUCCAGCAGAGCCACGGUGAAAUUCCUGUGUUGGGAGAACAAUGCACUGUGGAUUGAACAGAAACUUGGAGCCCAUGGGGCUAGGACACGAGGUAAGCAGGGACAGGUAGGCUGAGGCCGAGCAAAGAGACCUCUUGAAUACCAGGCAGGAGAGUUUAGACUUUGUCCUGUGCACAGUGGUAUCUAAUCAUGACUUUUCCACCUUUCUUGUGAAGGUGCUCAGGAAAUUUCCUCCCCCAAAUAUAACUC